CAGUCGCCGCGGUAACACGUAGGUGGCAAGCGUUGUCCGGAAUUAUUGGGCGUAAAGGGCUCGCAGGCGGUUUCUUAAGUCUGGUGUGAAAGCCCCCGGCUCAACCGGGGAGGGUCAUUGGAAACUGGGAAACUUGAGUGCAGAAGAGGAGAGUGGAAUUCCACGUGUAGCGGUGAAAUGCGUAGAGGUGUGGAGGAACACCAGUGGCGAAGGCGACUCUCUGGUCUGUAACUGACGCUGAGGAGCGAAAGCGUGGGGAGCGAACAGGAUUAGAUACCCCAGUAGUCCCUGUCUCUUAUAA
rnacentral:rRNA from 1 species